rnacentral:lncRNA from 1 species
AGUGGGCUGGUCGGCUUGGCCCUGCAGCAUGCAGGGCUCAAAAGUCUGUGAACUGGAGCUCAUCUGAACAUUCAGGUGUCACCAAGGUGGCCAGCACUGAGCUUGGAGGAUGCAGAUCCGGGUGGCUCAUUGCUGCAACUCCUCCCCCACCGCCCGCCACACGCACUGUGUCCAGCUCUGUGGGUCUCCUCUUCCUUCACACAGUUCAGAGAGGACCCACAUGGGCUGUGAUACAUGGCUGCAUUUGCUGGGGUGCCCAGGCUCCUCCUGCCCAACAUUAGACACCCCAACACCAGAUUCUCCACUGCCUGGGAGAGGGGGGCGGGUCCUGGGUGCAGAAACAGUGACGAUGGGGACCUACCCACCCACCUACAGGCGAAGAGGACUCCUGCUUGCUUUCUCACAGAUCUGCAAAUGCAGGGAUGGAAACUGCAAGGAAG